UUACAGCAAAAGGAGGAAGAUAAGAACGUCUCGCCUUUGAUGGUCAUUAGUCCGUAUAAGUUCCUAUUAGUAUUCGAAUUAAGAGCGCAGUUCCUUGUCGAAGAUGAACAAGCCAACGCCACCCCCACCCAGUCGGAUCAAAUUGGUCUGAUGCUUGGCCAGCUUGUUGAUAGUCUCCACCUGAUCCUUGAGAAAGUGGUCAUCCAGAAAGUCGCACAGAUGAGGAUCGCUGUGCUUGCUACCCAUGGCGUGCAAAUCCAGCAGCGACUUUAAUACGAAAAUCAGUUCACAACCGCCGAUAAUUUUAAUUGAGUGCAAACUCGAUGGCAGCCAAAGGGGAGGCCCAUUCCUGCUCGGCGGGAGAAGCCACCCCAGUGAAAACUACUCGUCCUCCUCGACGAUUCUGGUACUUGAUGAGCUUCCGAACAUGGCCACUUUCUUCUUCAGCUGACUCUUGAAAGUAUUUAGAGUAGCCGAUCAUGGCUACGUCAUCGCGAUCGUAAAAGGCGCUCUAAAUUCAAACGUUGUAAAAGGGAAAACCCUGUGACAGUAGAUCCGGGAAGAGGAGCUCCUUCGCUUGCCUUAUUACUUCAUGGGACAAUCCUUUGAAGAUUUUGUGCAGUCCCUAUCCUACUCCAGCCGCGUGACUGUAUUCGCCAUUUUAUUUUUCCAACUGACUGGCAGUGCUUUCCCCCGAGAGAACACAUGUCUGUCCUACCUCAUAAUAAAAGGUUUUCAGGUGAGAGUCCUUAUUUGACUUCCUGGACAUGUCUUGUCGCUUAAAAUGGACGGAGUUUCUCCUAUCAGCACCGCUUCCGCCGCUGGAUCACUUGGCGCUCGAAAUUUGUGUGACAGUUGGGAAAUGGACGUUUGAAAGUUCCCGCCAGGAUUAUAAUCAAAAGAUUAUGAUGGGUUAUGAAAUGGAUCAUCUCGUCAAACAACCUCCGCCUCCAACCAUGGCGUAACCUAAGCCCAGUCUAAUCCCAUAAUCCUCCGACGCCACAUUUUGAAAGAGAUUGAUAAUCCAUUUGCGGAUGUGGCGGCAGGAAGUGUUUGACAGGAUUUCUUCAGCUACUCCAACCAAUGGAAAGAAAGUCACUUUCACGAAACUAAAACGGUCGGAAAAAAGUGAAACCCAAACAUCCACACCCACACCCACACAACAACUACUGCUACUACUACUACUCCGUUUCUGUCAUCUGGACAUCUCGCUACUUCCCAAAAGAUUACUAUCCAGUGGGUCCCGCUUUCUUUUUUUUUUCUUUUUUGUUUCGUCCGACUCUUUUUUAGCAGACUAAAAGACAAGUUUCAUCGCCAUCUAUGAUUCACAUUUACAGCUACUGAUAUGGAACAAUAUGUCUUCGUUACGUAAGACCGCCGCCUUUUUUUUGUAGCACUGAUUGUGAUUGUUGAUUGAAAGCUGAUUAUGUGGCCUACAUUUUGCCAAGAUGUCGUCUCUUUUUCCUGUACGUACCGGCUGUACGUUUUGUAAGAAACACUUCAGUCUGGUAAAGUCUGAGCUUCGUCAUUGCUGCCCAAUGUUAACAUGGAUUUGAUGCAGCCAGCUGGUAAAGGGUGUCCCUCUUCUACCUGUACUGCUGUGUGUUUCAUCAAAUGAAGAAACAUGAACAACUGAAGUUAUCGUGUAUGAUCGCGUAGUUGGUGUCCGCUGUGGUACGUUGUUGCAGCCUAUGCUGGUGAUAGAUCUUUCUGCAUCAAGUUCCAUCGGCCGUGCUGGUGUCGUGUUACCGAAGUUGCAUUAUUACUUUAUUAAAUUGGCAUUGUAUCAAUGUAGUGCUUUAAUAUGUUAAGAAGAAACAAAAAAAAAAUAUGGGGAUGUGUUUAUGUCAAACAAAUAAUAAACAUGUUUUUGGGGUUGGGAAAGUAAAGUGGUGGAUAUUGGAGGGGGGAGGGAGGAUAUUUCAAGUUUGGAUAAAAAUCCCGUUAAUUUAUAACCCUACUAAUGUAUCCCUACCAAUUAAUCUCCAAACCCCAAAAAUAUAUACCUUCCAAUCCUUCAAACCCCGUAAAUAUACACCUACCAACCCCUAAAUCUAUACCCUUAACUCUAUAAACCAAUGUUAAACCUUAACCAUGUAAUAUCUGUAAUAAAUAUAAAAAAAUACACUA